UCCAGCUCCAAUAGCGUAUAUUAAAGUUGUUGCGGUUAAAAAAGCUCGUAGUUGGAUUUCUGCUUGGGGCAACCGGUCCGCCCCUCUGGGUGAGUAUCUGGCUUGGCCGGGCAUCUUCUUGGGGAACGUUACUGCACUUGACUGUGUGGUGCGGAGCCAGGACCUUUACUUUGAGGAAUUAGAGUGUUUCAAGCAGGCAU
rnacentral:rRNA from 1 species